UCUCUCUCUAUUUUUCUCUCCUCCUGUCCUCCACUUUCAUCCAUUCCCACCACCACCAUCAGCACCGUUUUCCGCCGCCGCAACCACUACCAACAUCACAACAUCUCCAUCGCCACCAUCGAUAAAAUUUCAGAUCUUUAGGAAUGAAAGAGAGAAAACGAUCUUCAUCGGAAAUCAUUUUCAGAUUCAAAAACCAUCAACAGUUUAGCAUCAUAAUCAUCUUCUUCUUCUUGGCUUGUCGCUGAUCGAGAGAUCUGAUUUUAAGUUUCAUUUUAUGAAUAAUGGGAAGGAUUCGAAAGCAAAGACCGGUGAUAACGUUCUAAAGUCACUACUGGUGUUGUUGUAGAAGGAGAAGGGUGUUGCAGUAACUAGACCUGAUGUCUAAACAGGUGAUGGUGACAUGGAAAAGAAACUAGUAUAUUUUGUAGAGAUGAUGGGUAUCAAAAUGUUGUUAUGAGAUGUUUAUAUAUCAUUUCAGAUGGGGUGGAGGAGCAAACAGCUAAGAUCAUGAAAGCUCCAAGUUACCUCAUUGUAGAAAUGAUCUUCUGCAUCUAAAGUGCAGGUAAGUUGAACAAAUUUUGUUUUACCUUUCAGGCUGUAAAGUUUGAACAUGCAGUAUUUGCAUAUGUCCGAACUAUCACCUCCUGAAUUAGUUGUGAUAAAAAAAAAGCCAGAGGUAUAUCAUGCCUCUGUGCUUGUGAACAAACUUGUUAGUUUUUAUCCAAUUCAUGUGUGGAACAUUCUAAUAUGGAAAGAUAUUUCACCCUGGCAAAGGAAGGUUUCAGAAGCUCCCCAAUCUGAUUAACAUUAUAUUAGAUAAUCUGAUUACGAUAUGCAAGGUAAUCAAUCUUACACUGGAAUUUGGAUAUUACAUUAGUUUCAGACUAUCAUGUCUUGGUAUGAAAGAAUCUCAUCCAAUAUGCAUUGGUAGUUUAGUUUGUAAUUCUUGAAAUUCAUAUGUAGCGAGUUUAGUUUGUAAUUCUUGAACAUAUGUACAUGGUUCUGUAGAUGGGGAAAAACGAAUUGCUGGUUUUUAAGAAAUUGAGGAGAUGACCGAACGGAGGAGACUCCUCGAACCGAGCGAAAUGUUAAA